rfam:Pelodiscus sinensis unplaced genomic scaffold scaffold1072, whole genome shotgun sequence.
UCAAAGGCUCUUUUAAGAGCCGCCCUCAAUCUUCAUUAAAGGAGCU